rnacentral:rRNA from 3 species
AUUGAACGCUGGCGGCAGGCCUAACACAUGCAAGUCGAGCGGAUGACAGGAGCUUGCUCCUGAAUUCAGCGGCGGACGGGUGAGUAAUGCCUAGGAAUCUGCCUGGUAGUGGGGGACAACGUUUCGAAAGGAACGCUAAUACCGCAUACGUCCUACGGGAGAAAGCAGGGGACCUUCGGGCCUUGCGCUAUCAGAUGAGCCUAGGUCGGAUUAGCUAGUUGGUGAGGUAAUGGCUCACCAAGGCGACGAUCCGUAACUGGUCUGAGAGGAUGAUCAGUCACACUGGAACUGAGACACGGUCCAGACUCCUACGGGAGGCAGCAGUGGGGAAUAUUGGACAAUGGGCGAAAGCCUGAUCCAGCCAUGCCGCGUGUGUGAAGAAGGUCUUCGGAUUGUAAAGCACUUUAAGUUGGGAGGAAGGGCAUUAACCUAAUACGUUAGUG